UCAGUGCAUCUGGGCAAAAGCGCCCCGCUCCUCUGUCUCCCCAGCACCACCCACCUUAUGACCCGAAGGCCAGGCCCUGCACUUCGAAGACAGCAGGCAGGGCCCAGCUGCUGGCUCCCUCUCCAACGUGGCCAGAGCCGCAGAGCCAGAGACAAGCAAAACGCAGCCAGGGUCCGAGCUUCCUCGAGAGCUGCAGGAAGGGGUGUGCUCCCAGCUAGCUGAGUCGAAGAAUCCACCGCAGAAGGGAAGGGCGUGCGUGACACCCCCCACCCCCAACACACACGGUCAGUAACUAGUUAUGGAGCUUCCCCUCGAGUCCCGAUUUCUGGAUUCCUCCCGCUCAGGGCUGGGGUGGAAAACACCCAUACUGAACCUACAUAAAAGGAAUCAGCAGGAAACCUGCGUAAAGAGAUCACGGGAACACCAGAUGCGAACAGAAUUCAUUAUGUGGCCCAAGUGACUCAUGACAACCGCCUUCCUCGACCAAGCCACCCUGUCCACUGCGGGAUGUGCAUUCUGGUGCAGCCCUCAGCUGCUAUGGUUUAGUGGAAGCCUGAGCUCACAUUUGGCUUCAUUAACAUUGCUUUUAUGUUA